UGAAGAAAGACGUGCGGAUCCUGCUGGUA
rnacentral:piRNA from 1 species